rnacentral:misc_RNA from 1 species
GAUGAAGAACGUAGCGAAAUGCGAUAAGUAAUGUGAAUUGCAGAAUUUAGUGAAUCAUCGAAUCUUUGAACGCACAUUGCGCCCUUUGGUAUUCCGAAGGGCAUGCCUGUUCGAGCGUCAUUAUAACCACUCAAGCCUUUGCUUGGUAUUGGGGUUCGCGGUCUCGCGGCCCCUAAAAUCAGUGGCGGUGCCUGUCGGCUCUACGCGUAGUAAUACUCCUCGCGAUUGAGACCGGUGGGCAGCUUGCCAACAACCCUAAUUUUCUCAGGUUGACCUCGGAUCAGGUAGGGAUACCCGCUGAACUUAAGCAUAUCAAUAAGCGGAGGA